rnacentral:rRNA from 1 species
CCUACGGGAGGCAGCAGUGGGGAAUUUUGGACAAUGGGCGAAAGCCUGAUCCAGCAAUGCCGCGUGAGUGAAGAAGGCCUUCGGGUUGUAAAGCUCUUUUGUCAGGGAAGAAACGGUGAGAGCUAAUAUCUCUUGCUAAUGACGGUACCUGAAGAAUAAGCACCGGCUAACUACGUGCCAGCAGCCGCGGUAAUACGUAGGGUGCAAGCGUUAAUCGGAAUUACUGGGCGUAAAGCGUGCGCAGGCGGUUUUGUAAGUCUGAUGUGAAAUCCCCGGGCUCAACCUGGGAAUUGCAUUGGAGACUGCAAGGCUAGAAUCUGGCAGAGGGGGGUAGAAUUCCACGUGUAGCAGUGAAAUGCGUAGAUAUGUGGAGGAACACCGAUGGCGAAGGCAGCCCCCUGGGUCAAGAUUGACGCUCAUGCACGAAAGCGUGGGGAGCAAACAGGAUUAGAUACCCUGGUAGUCCACGCCCUAAACGAUGUCUACUAGUUGUCGGGUUCUUAAUUGACUUGGUAACGCAGCUAACGCGUGAAGUAGACCGCCUGGGGAGUACGGUCGCAAGAUUAAAACUCAAAGUAGUAGUAGACGNGUAGAGAGCGACGACGGCACGACGGGAGGGUUAGG